rnacentral:rRNA from 1 species
AACGUAGGACGCGAGCGUUAUCCGGAGUUACUGGGCGUAAAGGGCGGGUAGGCGGACUGGCAAGAGGGCUGUGAAAUCUCCCGGCUCAACCGGGAGGGGACAGUCGUGACUGCCGGACUGGAGGGCAGCAGAGGAGCGUGGAAUUCCGGGUGGAGUGGUGAAAUGCGUAGAGAUCCGGAGGAACACCAGAGGCGAAGGCGGCGCUCUGGGCUGCAUCUGACGCUGAACCGCGAAAGCCAGGGGAGCGAACGGG